rnacentral:rRNA from 1 species
GAUCCUGCCGGAGGCCAUUGCUAUCGGAGUCCGAUUUAGCCAUGCUAGUCGCACGAAUUUGGAUUCGUGGCAUAUAGCUCAGUAACACGUGGCCAAACUACCCUACAGACCGCGAUAACCUCGGGAAACUGAGGCCAAUAGCGGAUAUCACUCUCACGCUGGAGUGCCGAGAGUGAGAAACGUUCCGGCGCUGUAGGAUGUGGCUGCGGCCGAUUAAGUAGAUGGUGGGGUAACGGCCCACCAUGCCGAUAAUCGGUACAGGUUGUGAGAGCAAGAGCCUGGAGACGGUAUCUGAGACAAGAUACCGGGCCCUACGGGGCGCAGCAGGCGCGAAACCUUUACACUGCACGACAGUGCGAUAGGGGGACUCCGAGUGUGAGGGCAUAUAGCCCUCGCUUUUCUGUACCGUAAGGUGGUACAGGAACAAGGACUGGGCAAGACCGGUGCCAGCCGCCGCGGUAAUACCGGCAGUCCAAGUGAUGGCCGAUAUUAUUGGGCCUAAAGCGUCCGUAGCUUGCUGUGUAAGUCCAUUGGGAAAUCGACCAGCUCAACUGGUCGGCGUCCGGUGGAAACUACACAGCUUGGGGCCGAGAGACUCAACGGGUACGUCCGGGGUA